rnacentral:rRNA from 1 species
GACGAACGCUGGCGGCGUGCUUAACACAUGCAAGUCGAACGGAAAGGCCCUGCUGUUUUGGCGUUCUCGAGUGGCGAACGAGUGAGUAACACGUGAGUAACCUGCCCUUGACUUUGGGAUAACUUCAGGAAACUGGGGCUAAUACCUGAUAUGAGCUCCUUCUGCAUGGUAGGGGGUGGAAAGGUUCGGCGGUUGGGGAUGGACUCUCGGCUUAUGAGCUUGUUGGUGGGGUAGUGGCUUACCAAGGCUUUGGCGGGUAGCCGGCCUGAGAGGGUGACCGGCCACAUUGGGACUGAGAUACGGUCCAGAAGGCUACGGGAGGCAGCAGUGGGGAAUAUUGCACAAUGGGCGGAAGCCUGAUGCAGCAACGCCGCGUGCGGGAUGACGGCCUUCGGGUUGUAAACCGCUUUCGCCUGUGACGAAGCGUGAGUGACGGUAAUGGGUAAAGAAGCACCGGCUAACUACGUG